GCCAGUGUGGCAUGGUGGUUUGAGUGUUGGACUACGGUGCUGGAGACCAGAGUUCGAUUCCCAGCUCGGCCA